rnacentral:rRNA from 1 species
UAGUUGGGUUUAAGGUUACCGCCAACGAGCGCAACCCUUACGUUCACUUUAAGUUGCCAGCAUUCAGUUGGGCACUUUAAAGAGACUGCCGGUGUUAAACCGGAGGAAGGUGGGGAUGACGUCAAGUCCUCAUGGCCUUUAUGCUUAGGGCUACACACGUGCUACAAUGGGUGGUACAAAGAGAAGCCAACUCGCGAGAGCGCGCCAAUCUCAAAAAGCCAUCCUCAGUUCGGAUUGGAGUCUGCAACUCGACUCCAUGAAGUUGGAAUCGCUAGUAAUCGCGGAUCAGCAUGCCGCGGUGAAUACGUUCCCGGGCCUU